UGGGGAAUUUUGGACAAUGGGCGAAAGCCUGAUCCAGCAAUGCCGCGUGUGUGAAGAAGGCCUUCGGGUUGUAAAGCACUUUUGUCCGGAAAGAAAUCCUUGGCUCUAAUACAGUCGGGGGAUGACGGUACCGGAAGAAUAAGCACCGGCUAACUACGUGCCAGCAGCCGCGGUAAUACGUAGGGUGCAAGCGUUAAUCGGAAUUACUGGGCGUAAAGCGUGCGCAGGCGGUUUGCUAAGACCGAUGUGAAAUCCCCGGGCUCAACCUGGGAACUGCAUUGGUGACUGGCAGGCUAGAGUAUGGCAGAGGGGGGUAGAAUUCCACGUGUAGCAGUGAAAUGCGUAGAGAUGUGGAGGAAUACCGAUGGCGAAGGCAGCCCCCUGGGCCAAUACUGACGCUCAUGCACGAAAGCGUGGGGAGCAAACAGGAUUAGAUACCCUGGUAGUCCACGCCCUAAACGAUGUCAACUAGUUGUUGGGGGAUUCAUUUCCUUAGUAACGUAGCUAACGCGUGAAGUUGACCGCCUGGGGGAGUACGGUCGCAAGAUUAAAA
rnacentral:rRNA from 1 species